rnacentral:rRNA from 1 species
UACAGAGGGUGCAAGCGUUGUUCGGAAUCAUUGGGCGUAAAGCGCACGUAGUCGGCUUUGCAAGUCGGGUGUGAAAUCCCCGGGCUCAACCUGGGAACUGCAUCCGAGACUGCAUUGCUAGAGUAUGGGAGAGGGAAGCGGAAUUUCUGGUGUAGCAGUGAAAUGCGUAGAUAUCAGAAGGAACAUCAGUGGCGAAGGCGGCUUCCUGGACCAAUACUGACGAUCAGGUGCGAAAGCGUGGGGAGCAAACAGG